rnacentral:rRNA from 1 species
UACCGCGGUUAAACGAGAGGCCCAAGUUGAUAGACAUCGGCGUAAAGAGUGGUUAUGAAUUAAUUACCAUAAAGUAAAAUACCCCCAGAGCCGUGAUAAGCACCCCGGGAUGAGAACAUCAAUCACGAAAGUAACUUUAGAAGAUCAGACCCCACGAGAGCUAGGGCA